AUUGAACGCUGGCGGCAGGCCUAACACAUGCAAGUCGAACGAGUGGCGGACGGGUGAGUAAUGUAUGGGAAACUGCCCGAUGGCGGGGGAUAACUACUGGAAACGGUAGCUAAUACCGCAUCCCAUCGGAUGUGCCCAGAGGUGAUUAGCUAGUAGGGGGGGUAACGGCUCACCUAGGCGACGAGCCCUAGCUGGUCUGAGAGGAUGACCAGCCACACUGGAACUGAGACACGGUCCAGACUCCUACGGGAGGCAGCAGUGGGGAAUAUUGCACAAUGGGAGCAAGCCUGAUGCAGCCAUGCCGCGUGUAUGAAGAAGGCCUUCGGGUUGUAAAGUACUUUCAGCGAGGAGGCGUUACUCGCAGAAGAAGCACCGGCUAACUCCGUGCCAGCCGCCGCGGUAAUUC
rnacentral:rRNA from 1 species